rnacentral:rRNA from 1 species
CUUAAAGGAAUUGACGGGGAGCACCACAACGGGUGGAGCUUGCGGUUUAAUUGGAUUCAACGCCGGAAAUCUUACCGGGACCGACAGCAAUAUGAAGGCCAGGCUGAAGACUUUGCCGGAUUAGCUGAGAGGUGGUGCAUGGCCGUCGUCAGUUCGUACUGUGAAGCAUCCUGUUAAGUCAGGCAACGAGCGAGACCCACGCCAACAGUUGCCAGCAUGUCCUCCGGGAUGAUGGGGACACUGUUGGGACCGCCUCUGCUAAAGAGGAGGAAGGAAUGGGCAACGGUAGGUCAGCAUGCCCCGAAUUAUCCGGGCUACACGCGGGCUACAAUGGUCAGGACAAUGGGUAUCGACACCGAGAGGUGGAGGCAAUCUCCUAAACCUGUCCUUAGUUCGGAUUGUGGGCUGCAACUCGCCCACAUGAAGCUGGAAUCCGUAGUAAUCGCGUUUCAAAAUAGCGCGGUGAAUAUGUCCCUGCUCCUU